rnacentral:rRNA from 1 species
GUGGGGAAUAUUGGACAAUGGGCGCAAGCCUGAUCCAGCCAUGCCGCGUGAGUGAUGACGGCCUUAGGGUUGUAAAGCUCUUUUACUCGGGAAGAUAAUGACGGUACCGAGAGAAUAAGCCCCGGCUAACUUCGUGCCAGCAGCCGCGGUAAUACGAAGGGGGCUAGCGUUGUUCGGAAUCACUGGGCGUAAAGCGCACGUAGGCGGAUUUUUAAGUCAGGGGUGAAAUCCCGAGGCUCAACCUCGGAACUGCCUUUGAUACUGGGAAUCUCGAGUCCGGAAGAGGUAAGUGGAACUGCGAGUGUAGAGGUGAAAUUCGUAGAUAUUCGCAAGAACACCAGUGGCGAAGGCGGCUUACUGGUCCGGAACUGACGCUGAGGUGCGAAAGCGUGGGGAGCAAACAGG